GGGGGGGGAGAAGAGCUUCGAGCAGGCACUGAAGGAUGCGCUUAACUUUCGAACAAAGAUGCUCCGUUGCCAGCCCGUACGCCAUACGUGAAUGGUGCCGGUGGUGUGCCGAAGGAAAUCGCCGGUCGUGAGUGGAGUGCGGAGACGAUAGAGGACGUCAAUGCGACUACAGCGGUGCUUGCCCUGAAGCAUGGACCGAAAAUUGUCAUCGAAAACUCCUUCCGUAAUGGCACGCCACCGGCUAUCACAUCACCGCAGCGCGGGAGACCGAUCGGCUACGGCCCUGAUCGUCAAUGAGGGGUCCCCUCUGCUGAUCGGGAAUGGUAGCAGCUGCUGCUCGUCAUCCGACGAACGGAUCCACAAUGAAUUGCUGCGGCAUGCACUGACGCAUCCGCCGCAGCAUCCGCAGCAUCGUGAUCGUGACGCAGUUACUGCCCAAGCAACCAUAGGCAGCCUUCAGUUCUCAUGUGGAGAACAAUAAAUCCCCCUGAAGGCUCCAACAGUUCUGCUGCUGACAACAAUCAGAACACCAAAUCCCCUCAAAGGCUCAAACAGUUCUCCUAUGAGAACACGAAAUCCCCUCAAAGGCUCAAACAGUUCUCUUAUGAGAACACUAAAUCCCCUCGAAGGCUCAAACAGUUCUCUUAUGAGAACACUAAAUCCCCUCGAAGGCUCAAACAGUUCUACUAUGAGAACACCAAAUCCCCUUAAAAGCUCAAACAGUUCUUGACGAUACCAGCAGAGGUCGCAAUCGAUCGUUGCGAUCGGUUUGACGUUUCAAUUUCACGAAAAUUCCUGAAACAACAACAACGUCGGUUGCAUCUGCGCUUGUUAAAACAAGUGAAAAAACGUUUAAAUUAGUGAAAAAGUGUAGUGUAAAAUAAGUGAAACAGUAGUGUACCAUCGUAGUAAGCUGAGGUAAGUGUAGUUCACCGAAAAUACGUGUUUGUUUUUUGUCCGCCGCAGCAUCCGCAGCAUCGUGAUCGUGACGCAGUUACUGAUAUUAUGAAGGAACACCGGAUGAUAAGAAAGGCUAUGGGAUGAGGAUGCCCAUAAUUCCAUAUUAAACUUUGACGAGAAUGUGUCGUGUCGUGCCGAGUUGCCAAGUACUGUAACCUGCAUCUGCCGACCUUUCUGCGCUCGGUGACCCGUACGG